AUGGAGGGAACCAUGAAGAACGGCGCCAGGGCGAUCAAAGGCAAGGUGGCGAUGGCGUACUCCAAGUACGCCGGCAAGGCCCAGGCCAAGCCUGCCCUGAGCACUACAGCACACGCCUACCAGCCAAGGUACCCUUUUUCCAUUGACGCCACCGCGAGCGCCCCCUACGCCGCGGCUGAUGAUGUCGACGAGAGGGCCUCGGCGUUCAUACUGUCCGUCCGAGAGCGCUUCAAGAACGAGCAGACGAUGAUGAGUUAG
rnacentral:rRNA from 1 species